UACGAAGGGGGCUAGCGUUGUUCGGAAUUACUGGGCGUAAAGGGCGCGUAGGCGGCGUGUCAAGUCAGGCGUGAAAGCCCCGGGCUCAACCUGGGAACCGCGCUUGAGACUGGCAUGCUCGAGUUCGGGAGAGGAUGGUGGAAUUCCCAGUGUAGAGGUGAAAUUCGUAGAUAUUGGGAAGAACACCGAUGGCGAAGGCAGCCAUCUGGGCCGACACUGACGCUGAGGCGCGAAAGCGUGGGGAGCAAACAGG
rnacentral:rRNA from 1 species